GUCCCUUGUCUUAACGCAGCAUGAACGAAUUUACGAACGGAGACAGAUCCACAGUCCCCUUCCCGAUUUCAUCGUGGGGGACCAUAACAUUAAAGUCAUUAGACCUUAAGGAGUAACAGUAGGCUGGCCUACAGUCAUUACGAGUACAUUAUUGGGCUAGUUAUAGGUUAAAGGCCUAUGAACAUCACACGCAGCAACUCGGAUGCUCACAUUCCCGCUCGCCCGAUCUCGACAUCGCUAAUGAGAAGACCCAGGUCUAUGCAAACACCUUACCUAUAGAAAGCCGAAUUAAUUGGGGGGGGCACAAAUAGCACCCUAUGUUCAAGGUAUUUUGUACCGUGGGUGAUAUGUUGCUCCCGCGGAGAGCCUUAGAACGAAGGAAGGGCAUCAAUUGUGAAAACGUGUUAUUCAGACACAGGGAGAAACAUUUCCACUGCAGAGGACACAUUCUUCACUAAUCAUCUUGGCAGUGACCUUUUGUGUGGGCUGUGCUAUGUGUCCUUGGACGUAAAGGACCUGAGCCCUAGGAGCAUGCCUCAGGACUACCUGGCCUGAUGACUCCUUGCUGUCCCCAGUCCACCUGGUCAUACUGCUGCUCCAGUUUCAACUGUUCUGCCUUCGGCUAUGGAACCCUGACCUGUUCACUGGACGUGCUACCUUGUCCCGGACCUGCUGUUUUGGACUCUCUCUCUACUGCACCUGCUGUCUCUAACUCUGAAUGAUCGGCUAUGAAAAGCCAACUGACAUUUACUCCUGAGGUGCUGACCUUUUGCACCCUCUACAACCACUGUGAUUAUUAUCUGACCCUGCUGGUCAUCUAUGAACGUUUGAACAUCUUGGCCGUGUUCUGUUAUAAUCUCUCUAUAGCCUGGUUCCUCUCUAGGUUUCUUCCUAGGUUUCUUCCUAUGUUCUGGCCUUUCUAAGGAGUUUUUCCUAGCCACUGUGCUUCUACAUCUGCAUUGCUUGCUUUUUGGGGUUUUAGACUGUGUUUCUGUACAUCACUUUGUGACAUCGGCUGAUGUAAAAAAAGGCUUUAUAAAUAAGUGUGGUUGAUGAUCCAUUCAUAACUCUUUGUCUGUUGGCAAGGAUACUCACACACUUUUAACUUAUGUUUUUGACAUACAUAAUUACAUUGAGCAUGUACACCAGCUGUAUUAUUCAAUAUGUAUUCACCUGGGUUUUGAACUCACAACCUCUUGGUUCACAGUACUCCAGCACUUCCUGCUACGCCACCAUAUCCAUGCCAGGUAUCAAUUAAUCUGACUAUUUUCUCAUAAUUGAUUUUAUGUACUUAUUUCAGCAAUUGAAGUUGUUUAAUGUUGGUGGGGCAUAUUAGCCUGUUUUAAUGAUGCUCCUGAA